CCUACGGGGGGCUGCAGUGGGGAAUAUUGGACAAUGGGCGAAAGCCUGAUCCAGCCAUGCCGCGUGUGUGAAGAAGGCCUUCGGGUUGUAAAGCACUUUCAGUGGGGAAGAAAGCCUUGGGGCUAAUACCCUCGAGGAAGGACAUCACCCACAGAAGAAGCACCGGCUAACUCCGUGCCAGCAGCCGCGGUAAUACGGAGGGUGCGAGCGUUAAUCGGAAUUACUGGGCGUAAAGCGCGCGUAGGCGGUCUGAUAAGCCGGUUGUGAAAGCCCCGGGCUCAACCUGGGAACGGCAUCCGGAACUGUCAGGCUAGAGUGCAGGAGAGGAAAGUAGAAUUCCCGGUGUAGCGGUGAAAUGCGUAGAGAUCGGGAGGAAUACCAGUGGCGAAGGCGGCCUUCUGGACUGACACUGACGCUGAGGUGCGAAAGCGGGGGUAGCAAACAGGAUUAGAUACCCCUGUAGUC
rnacentral:rRNA from 1 species